rnacentral:misc_RNA from 1 species
UACGAAGGGGGCAAGCGUUGUUCGGAAUUACUGGGCGUAAAGCGCGCGUAGGUGGCUAUUCAAGUCAGGGGUGAAAUCCCGGGGCUCAACCCCGGAACUGCCUUUGAAACUGUCUAGCUUGAGUCUCGGAGGGGAUGGUGGAAUUUCUAAUGUAGCGGUGAAAUGCGUAGAGAUUAGAAGGAACACCGGUGGCGAAGGCGACCAUCCGGACGAGUACUGACACUGAGGUGCGAAAGCGUGGGGAGCAAACAGG